GGGCCCGUCGUCUAGCCUGGUUAGGACACCGCCCUUACGAGGCGGGGGUCCUGGGUUCAAAUCCCAGCGGGCCCACCA
rnacentral:tRNA from 2 species